rnacentral:rRNA from 1 species
AGAGUUUGAUCCUGGCUCAGAUUGAACGCCGGCGGACUGCUUUACACAUGCAAGUCGAACGGCAGCACGGGGGCAACCCUGGUGGCGAGUGGCGAACGGGUGAGUAAUACAUCGGAACGUGCCCAGUCGUGGGGGAUAACGUAGCGAAAGCUACGCUAAUACCGCAUACGAACUCUGGUUGAAAGCGGGGGAUCGCAAGACCUCGCGCGAUUGGAGCGGCCGAUGGCAGAUUAGGUAGUUGGUGGGGUAAAGGCUCACCAAGCCGACGAUCUGUAGCUGGUCUGAGAGGACGACCAGCCACACUGGGACUGAGACACGGCCCAGACUCCUACGGGAGGCAGCAGUGGGGAAUUUUGGACAAUGGGCGCAAGCCUGAUCCAGCCAUUCCGCGUGCAGGAUGAAGGCCCUCGGGUUGUAAACUGCUUUUGUACGGAACGAAAAGGCCUGGGUUAAUACCUCGGGCUCAUGACGUACC